rnacentral:sRNA from 1 species
AUACUAGCAACUGCCGAAGACAGUAGGUGCUGAAAAGCGUAAGUAGUAAACGCCUACCGAGGAAGAAUGAAUUUUUACAUGAGUAUGAAUUUGUAAAUCUUCGCGUCUUUGGAUGCGGAGUUUUUUUAGUUU